rnacentral:rRNA from 1 species
UACGAAGGAUGCAAGCGUUAUCUGGAUUCACUGGGUUUAAAGGGUGUGCAGGUGGGGGUAAUAAGUCAGUGGUGAAAGCCCCCGACUCAAUCGGGGAACUGCCCAUAGAUACUGUUAUUCUUGAGUGUGGUUGAGGCGGAUGGAAUAUGACAUGUAGCGGUGAAAUGCUUAGAUAUGUCAUAGAACACCGAUCGCGAAGGCAGUCCGCCAAACCAUUACUGACACUGAAACACGAAAGUGCGGGGAUCAAACAGGG